UAGGGAAUCUUCCGCAAUGGGCGAAAGCCUGACGGAGCAACGCCGCGUGAGUGAUGAAGGUCUUCGGAUAGUAAAACUCUGUUAUUAGGGAAGAACAAAUGUGUAAGUAACUAUGCACGUCUUGACGGUACCUAAUCAGAAAGCCACGGCUAACUACGUGCCAGCAGCCGCGGUAAUACGUAGGUGGCAAGCGUUAUCCGGAACUAUUGGGCGUAAAGCGCGCGUAGGCGGUUUUUUAAGUCUGAUGUGAAAGCCCACGGCUCAACCGUGGAGGGUCAUUGGAAACUGGAAAACUUGAGUGCAGAAGAGGAAAGUGGAAUUCCAUGUGUAGCGGUGAAAUGCGCAGAGAUAUGGAGGAACACCAGUGGCGAAGGCGACUUUCUGGUCUGUAACUGACGCUGAUGUGCGAAAGCGUGGGGAUCAAACAGG
rnacentral:rRNA from 1 species